AGCAGGUGGAAAUGCCACUGUGAUACAUUUUCCAAGUGCUGUUUGUUGUAACAUUCAAACUGGAAUCUACAUUGGAAUCUCUGUUAUUGCCUUGGUAUUAUUGCUCAUGAUUUUGGUAUUCAUGAUUAGCAAAAAAUCUCUUUGCCUGGGUAACAAGAUGAGGCUACUACGUAUGAUUCCAUUGAAAGAUUCUCAGAUUGGAGCUUUGAAAAAUGCAACCAUGAAGCCUGUCCGAGCAGAAGACAAUAUCUACGUUAUGGAUGAAACUCUCUAAGUCACGGGUUGAGAUCUGGUGGCCUUCUAAGGUGUUAUGCCCUUGACUGUAGAAGACAGUGACCAGAUAUCACCAUGUCAGAGUCCUUUCAAGCAGUAGGACAGUUUCUUGGUCAGUUUCCAGUGGCAUUCCAAGGAGUCAGGGACACUGGGUAGAGUGAGUCUAGCUCAUCUGUGCACAGUCAACCUCUGUCACACAGUCCUAAUUUUUUAUACUAAAAGUGGCUCAGUCUUUCUGGUCAUUGGAGAGCCCUCUCCAAAACAUGAAAUGUACUCUUUAGAAUUGUACAUUCUCUUUAGACCCUUUGAAUCCUGUUAUCCAUCAAGAAUUCUCAUUGAGAAGACAGAUAACACACUUCUACUUUGGUUAACAAACCGUCAAGAAAUGAAUACAACAAAAUCAGCAAACCCAACUUGGGACUAAAUGACUUAACAUGAAAGCAUCUCGUGAUUCUUUUUUCUAUUUAAGUGACCCCAAAUGUUAGAUUCCUAAGUAAGUUAAGGGUUUCAAAUCAUGGGAGUGUGCUGGUUUUUAUUUACCCACUGGGAAAAUAAAAGUGAGUGUGAUUUUGCCAUUAUAGGUAGGUCUGGUUUCUCAGGGCUCUGGAAAUAGAAGGCAUUAAGUGCCUUCCUGGGGACCAGAAUGGUAUUUUAGCAGUUAGAAGAAGGUAGGGAAGUGAGUGGUCCACAGAAACACCAGGGGAAGAAAAUCCAUUGCCAUGUGAUUUACACUGUUUCUGCUACAUUGGUACUGCAGUUCUAGGUGCUUAUGUAAACAACUGGCAGGCUCUGAUGGAAUCUUAAGAAUGUGGCAGAGCAGAAAUAAAUAUAAGGAAAAAAGAGGGCAGAGUAGCAAAAAAGGCUUUCUGCCUUGGAAAAGCGUGUUUGCAAAUAUAGUAGUGUUGUUUGAGACUAAUCCAGCAUUUUCAAAACUUGUUUGAAACCCCUAAGCACAGUGCCUGCUGGCAUACCCAGUAGCAUUCUGUGAAACAAGACCUGGGGCAUGGGAGAAAGCAGGUGGUACUCAGAAUUGGAGACAGAACUUGAGUUCUAAUCCUCACACCAGUAAUAUUUGGAUGACAUUAUGAUAAAUCCUUCCUUAUGCCUAAAUUUUUAAUAUAUUUUUAAAUGAAGUGUAGUUAAUUUACAAUGUUGUGCUGAUUUUUUUUUACACAUAUUAGAAUAAUUUCCACACACACAUUGGUGUUCAGUGGUAAUUCCAGUGACAUUUACUUUUGGGAGAAAGAUAAAAGUGAAAAAGACUACAAAAAUGCAAGGUUUUGUGUGUGUUUGUGUGGAGUCUGUAGUGAUAGGAAGGAGAUCUACCAUUAGUGUUCAGUAAAUAAUUUCAAUAGUGCUGCAAAUCUCUUGGUAUAUGGUCCAUUUUAUAAUUUUUUGAAUUACAUUUCUGUUUUGGAAAAGUCUAUACUGGGUAAUUUGGCUAUUAUACUGUAGAAAAAUUUUUUAUAAACAAGGGGAAGAAUGAUUUAUAAAGAGGGAAGGGGAGGUAUUUAGUUAAUACUAAAUUAUUUUCUGUAUAUAUAUCAAUCAUAUAGAAAAUACUGACUUGCUUUUGAUCUUUUGAGAUGAUGAGCUUACAUUUUAUACAGUUGAUCUUGGGGCAUUAGGAGGCUGGUGUAUUAAUAAUUAAAAUCAUAUAUUUGAACUUAGAAAAUGGUAUGCAUCUUUAAAAAGUAGAUGAACCAAGCUUUCACUAAUGGCUAUGAAGAUAAUUUUAUGGGUACCUGAAAGUGUGAGAGGCUCCUUAUGACAACUUUCAUUCAUAUGUACACUCAUUAAUUAAACACACUUCUGUUUUCAUUUUGGAAA